AACGAACGCUGGCGGCAUGCCUAACACAUGCAAGUCGAACGAGACUUUCGGGUCUAGUGGCGCACGGGUGCGUAACGCGCGGGAACCUGUCCUUAGGUUCGGAAUACCUUCCCGAAUGGGGUGCCAAUACCGGAUACUGCUAUUGGACCAAAGAUUUAUCGCCCUUGGAUGGGCCCGCGUUGGAUUAGCUAGUUGGUAGGGUAAAAGCCUACCAAGGCGACGAGCCAUAGUUGGUCUGAGAGGAUGAUCAGCCACACGGGGACUGAGACACGGCGCAGACGCCGGCAUGAGGCAGCGGUGGGGAGUAUUAUACAGUGAGCGAGAGCCUGAGCCAGCGAUGCCGGGUGUGUGAUGAAGGCCUUAGGGUUGUAAAGCUCUUUUACCCGGGAUGAUAAUGACAGUACCGGGAGAAUAAGCUCCGGCUAACUCCGUG
rnacentral:rRNA from 1 species